rnacentral:lncRNA from 1 species
AUGAAUGGAGAGACUGGCUUUAAUUUGGACAGAGUGUCUCUCUGCGGUGAGAGGAAGGAAGGCUGAAGGUGUGGGUGCAGAUAUGUGUUAACAGGAGGUGGGGUUGCAGCAUCCGAGAAAGUUAUCUUCUGCGCAGAAGGAUGAAGGAGGAAGAGUUGGAGUCUGAGGAUGGAGGCUCAGCCAGGAGACGAGACCAUCAGUCUUACAUCCUUGGCUGGAGGACAGAGUGGAUUUUCUGACAGGAGCUGUGUUAUGCACAUGGGCAACAUCUACCCUCCCUCACUAACCACUUCUCAUCUGGACUGUCACUGUAGAAUGUGUGGGAUCCAGAAUCCUUCUAUUAAGAAUACCUUCAGGAGUCUAUGCAGAGACCACAGACAGGAAAUGUUCCUGACAAUCUCUCGUUAUGUGACGCCUUGUCACCUGCUUCACCUCCCCCAACCUGUAUAACUGUUACAGUUCCAUUCCCUGCAGAAGGAAACAAGAAGGAAGG